GGUUAGUGGUUAAGAGAAUGGGAAGUUGUCUGCUGAACUCUUUAAAUCACCUUGGUUCCAACACGGUUCAAAAUAAUCUCCCCAUUUCGCCAAAGUCGUCGCAGAGUGCCUCAAGAGCUGUUCAACUGUACCCCUUAAAAAAGUGUUCUAGAAUGGGAGUUAGACGUGAAGUCUCAAUCUCACUUGAUGGAGUAGGAGACAAGAACAUUAUGCAGCUCAAGAAGCCUAAAUGGCUCUCUUAUCUGUUCGUUACAACGAUAAAUACUAUUCUGAUGGACUUGCUUCCGCCAAUUUCACCAAACUAGCUGAGCAUGUGGGAGAUUUGAGCCUUCACCUCCAGCUCAUAUAACUGCUGCUGGCUUUGGAGCCUCGACCACCAUAAAGAU